UAUUGCGCAAUGGACGAAAGUCUGACGCAGCGACGCCGCGUGUAGGAUGACGCCUUUCGGGGUGUAAACUACUGUUGCCCGGGACGAAACUCCUUUUUCGAAAGGACUGACGGUACCGGGUGAGGAAGCACCGGCUAACUCUGUGCCAGCAGCCGCGGUAAUACAGAGGGUGCGAGCGUUGUCCGGAAUCACUGGGCGUAAAGGGCGCGUAGGUGGCUUGGUAAGCGUGUGGUGAAAGUCCGGGGCUCAACCCCGGAUCUGCCGUGCGAACUGCCGAGCUUGAGCAUUGUAGAGGCAGGUGGAAUUCCGGGUGUAGCGGUGGAAUGCGUAGAGAUCCGGAAGAACACCAGUGGCGAAGGCGGCCUGCUGGGCAAUAGCUGACACUGAGGCGCGACAGCGUGGGGAGCAAACAG
rnacentral:rRNA from 1 species